GACAGCCCUCGGUUGUGGGGAGACCGCUCCGGUUGUGGGGAGACUCCCCUGGUUAUGGGGAGAUCACCCUAGUUAGGGGGAGACCCCCCCGGUUAAUGGGGAGACCCCCCCCGGUUAUGGGGAGACAGCCCCUGGUUAGGGGGAGAUCGCCCCCGGUUAAGGGGGGACCCCCUCGAUUAUGGGGAGACAGCCCCUGGUAAUGGGGAGACCCCUUUGGUUAUGGGAGACCCCCCCCCGGUUGUGGGGAGACCCCCCUCGGUUAUGGGGAGAACCCCCCCGGUUAUGGGGAGACCCUCUCGAUUAUGGGGAGACCCCCUCUGGUUAUGGGGAGGCUGCCCCCAGGGGGAUGCAGAGGGAGGGGAGGUGGUGGUAGGCAUCUGUAGGGUGGGGGGUGGGAGAUCUGGGGUGCCUGUACCCCCCGGUGUAAUGUGGGGUGGUGUCUGCUGGGUGUCACUGAGCUGCACGGUGCAGCCGGGAUGUGGGGUUUUUGGGGAGAUGAGGGGCACAGCCACCUCGUGGUUUAAUGGGGGCGUGGGGCAGUGGCACCUCGUGGUCCCAUCCGGACCCUCAUCUCUUGGGGAGAUGAGGGUCAGCACCACCUCAUGGUCUAAUGGGGACGUGGGUCAGCGUCACCUUAUGGGCCAACCUGGACAUGGGGCAGUGUCUUUUGGGGAAAUGGGAUCACUGCCACCUCACAGUCUGUGGUAUAGACGAGGGUCACUGUCCCUUGGCUGAGGUGGGUCUGUGGGUGCUGCUAUCUCCUCAUGGUCUGAGGUGGACGUGGGUCAGUGUUACCUUGUAGGUCCAAGGUGGAUGUGGUCAGUGCCCCCUAUGUGGAGAAAGAGGGGUUUCUGCCCCAUAGGGUGAGUGGAGAUGCCCCUGCAAUGGGUCUGUGGGGCUGAGGUGGGAGAAACAGGAGUCACUGUCACCUCAUGGCCUGGCAGGGGGCACGGCUCGGUGGACAUGGGGCAGUGCUCCCCUGGCUGGAGGAGGUGUGGGGGCCCUGCUUUUACUGAGGGGAUGCUCAAAAGGAAGAAAAAUCCCCUUAAAAUGUGUCCGUGGGGCUAAGAUGGUUGGGACUGGGGUUUGCUGUCGCCACAUGGUCUGAGCUGGACGUGGGUCAGUGCCCCUCACGUGUGGGAUGAGGGGAGGUUUGGGGUCACCCCCGCCUAUCUGAGGAGAGAUUUCCCCCAAAAUGAGUCUGUGGGGUGGCUGAACGUGGGCUGCUGUCCCCUCGUGGCAGGGGGACCCCCCAAAAAUACGGAGGGUUGAAGGGGGUCCUUGCUCCUCGGGGUUGUAAACGGUGCCUCAGGGGUGGGCUCUUGCUGCCCUAUGGGGCUGGGGCAGGACUUGGGGGGUAAAUAUGGGGCUGCUCUCCCCUACAGGUGCUGUGGGGGACGCUGACACCUUUCCUGGUGCCAGCAUGGAUGUAGGCCCGGGGGUGACCCCAACGAGGGUCGCAUCCGUACCCCACAAGCUUCACCCCACACAGAGGGGGACCCUCACAGCUCACCCCCAUUCCCUGAAGAGAAACGCAGCGUGAAGCCUCGGCCCUGCUGAGGGGAUGGAGGAAACCUUCUCCCCGACUGGGGUUGUGGGGACAUUUUUCGGGUUGCCAGCGCCGGGCUGAAGGUCAGAGACGGGGACUGCUCCCCCGGAGAGGCCCUGGGGCAGAGGAGCUGCUGCUGAGGGGACGGGGCUGAGGGGGGACAUCUAUAGGGUCAGGGGGAAUCGAAGGACAUCCCCCAACCCGAGCUGCCGGCCUGCGUUAUCCCCUCUGAAAAAAAGGUUUAAGAGGAGAGGCAGGGAGGGAUUCUCCGGGAUGAAAGCCCGGAGAUACAACCGCCUGCACAGCCGCCCGGCAUUUCUGCGGAAAGGGGUGGUGUAAGGACAGCCGUAAAGACCCGGCGUGGCCCGGCGUCCUCCAGGAGGGGACGUGGGCGGAAGGGGUUAAGCCUGCUGCCUAAUGAAAUCAGUGGAGAAGUGGCUGGAGUUAAGAUGGAGACAGCACGCCGGAGCCUGGGGGAGGAGGGCUGCGUGGGUGGAGGCAGGGGAGGGCCUUGACACCUCUUCUGAGGACACCGCUCUUGAGAUAAAAUGAAUAUACCCAUCAAAGAUUUCUUUUUUUUUAUUAUUAGUAUUAUUUUAUUUAUUUAUUUAUUUUAUUUUCCAAAGAACUGAGGGGGCGGAGGGGCGGGGAUGCUGCGUGGGGAGGGCGCGGGAAAUGUAUACCUGGGGGAUCAGCCCCUGGAGCCGCGCACGUAUUCCUUCUGCAUCUUCAAUGUCAUUCGUGUAACGCUCACCACACGUUCAUGUGCUCGACUUCUGCAUUGUGUUGGGGGGGAUAUUUUAUUUCAUUUUGGCCAGGGGAUGCUGAGAGGGGGGUGUGUGGAUGUGCGUGAGGGUGAUGAAUUGGUGCGCUGACCCCUUCUCCUGCUGUCCCUACUGCUCCCAAGCGCUGAUCCCAUCAGCAAAAGCAAUCCAGCGACGCAGAGGCACCUCUGGCAAGUUGGAUUUCUCCCCUCCUGGAGCCAGGAGGAAGAAAUGAUUAUGUAUUAGCCGCGGUGUGAGCCUGCAUUGGCAAAAACAUCCCCCGGCACGCUCGAGUGAGCGGGUGGGGAGGGGGAAACCGAAGCGGCGCCUGGCAGAGGGGGAAUUUGGGGGGGGGGAAUACGAAGGACCCAGGCUCAAAUUACCCAGGCUUUUUGUCAAUGCAGAGAAAAAAUAUUCGCUUCUGAGAUGGUGCGGGGCUGGGACUGCCAAAAGGGACUGGAAAGGAGCUCUGCAGAGCAAACCACGCUAGGUAAAACGAGGGAGCUUCCUCUCCUGUUGAUCGCCAACCUCCCUAGCGCACGGCUCUGGCUUUUUAGGGCAUGCCGAGCAGGGCGAGCAGCAUGAAGCUGCCUCCCAGCACCCGACCGAAGCCGGAAUAACUUCCCGAUGUCUGUGAGCUUGCCUCCACGACGGCAUCUUCUCCCAUCCCCACUCUAGCCAUUGCGAGUGCUGUUACAAUUAAUCUGGGACGCGGUGAUGGGACUCAUGGCUAAAUCUCUUCGUGCUGGUAAGACUCUGACAACGUGGGGAUGGAGGGGGAAGACCCAGAAGGAUGAAAGUUCAGCUCGUCGUGCACCCAGCCUGCUUUCCUGCAUGAGAACGGCACCGUGCUGCGGCUGCACGGGGCGUGAUGAGGGCUGUCCUCAGUUCCCCUGCCCAGGGAGUGAGCGCUGGGGCUUAGUGGGAGUACUGGGCGGAUAUUUCGGGUUUCUUGCCUUGGUUUUUUUUUUUUUUUUGCUCAGCCGAGAGCCUGAGGCUGUGUUAGUGCUGCCCACCUACAGCGGCUGCUGGAAAGAAAGUACACAGACGUGGUGAAAGCGCGCGCGCGUGUGUACACACGUGGGCACACCGAGAUUUUAAUUGAUGCUUGGAGUGCCACGAUCCCAAAUUACCUUCCCACUGGUACCCGGGGGAUUUUUCCCUCACAGAUCUCCUGUUUUCACCUUUCAUCUCAAUCCCUGAGCUUACCUCGAGGACUUCAAGCAAGCAGAGGUCGCUCAUUUUGCGAGGGGUGUUUGUGACAGUCCUGCACCCGAUGCACCUUUCUUGAACCUUUUUAUCCUGGUCAGUGGGUCAUGGUUGCUGUCGAGGAGCAGAGGGAUUGAAGCACAAUCCUUGGCAUUGCUAUUAAAAAAAAAACAUCAUUGAAUUCCAUUGGAUUAAGCGUGUGGGGGCUGAGCUGACACGAGCUCGCCCGAAAAUCUCGCCGUGUCUGGUAGCUGGCAGCGAUGGUAAGGUUCGUGACUCGAGUGCAAGAUAUUUAUGGGUUUUGGUGUUAAAUUUGGUCCGAAUACAUAUUUAGAAGAAAAACUGUGCUAAAAAGAAAAAAAAGAACACGCUCCAGUCACUGUUUUGACAUUAAAUCGCCGUGUGUGUGUGUUUAAGGGAAAAAAAUUCCUAAAGUUUCAGCGAUGGCUUGCCAUCUUGUUUAUUAGUGGAAAGACCAAAUCUCUGACUUGUUCCUCGUUCGGCGUGCCCGGAGGUGGAAGGAUGAAUCGAUGGCUUUAAAAGGAAGACGUGGUAUUUAAUGACUGCGCGAUGAGUGGGUUCGGGCUUUACUAAAAUACUUUGCUCUGGGAUGAACUGGGAGCUGGGUAUCUGCAAAUUGAGCUGAUUUAGAAACCGACAGCUACAACUCCUGAAACGCCAGCCCAAAUCCCCUGGCAGGGGGGGCCAGCAGCGUGUCAGAAGGCCAAGCUGCUGCCCUGACACCCCCUCGCUAUCUUGCUUUGGGAUGUUCAACCCCACAGGGCCUUGCUGUGAUUUUCCUGCCUGCCCUGGCACUCCUGAAUGUGGUUUAUUUUUAUUUUUUUUUUCAGCUUUCUCUGGUUAGCUUGUCUGGCAGCUCAGUUUUUCCCCUUCGCCAAGUUUUAACAGCUUGCUCUGAGAGUACGGAGUUUUGUCAGCUUUCGACAAGUUGGCAGAGGGAGGACGUGCUGGGAUGGAUGCUUAAAUGUGCUCUCCCUCCAAUAUCAUGUCUGGGGCAUAAGAUUUUUACCCAACUUCUCCUCCCCUGUCCCAAUUUUGAAGGGUUUUCUGCAGGAUCUCCGUCAGAGCUGGGCUGCCUAAAUUAAAACACGCCAAGGAUGGCGCACCUAAAGCACAGGUAGGGGAGUUUGUGGGGGCGAAUACUCAUCCCAAAUCAUGAUACCGGCAACAAAAGAGGCUUUCUCACUUGGGUAGGGUCUUUAUUGGUUUUGGGGUGGUGGCGAGGCUCCGUGUCUUGUGGAGUGCUACCCACUAGAGGGGGUCAAACCACAGAUGUUGGAGCAGCUCUGCUGCGCCAGCCUGGGGAGGGCAGAGUUUGCCUCCAAGCCUUCUUCUCUUUGGGCUCUGCCCCGACCUGCUGGGAGCUCCCCGUCCAGGUACUUGGGCUGUUCUGUGUCACAGCAGGGUGUGUGGGGGGUAAGAGGGGCAGGAUUGGGGGCAGAAAGUGGAUUUCAGCUGUGUUUUGAGGAAGGUAGACUGUGGCGCUCCGUUGGCGAGGUGUUGGCGCGGCGGUGAGGGCUCAUUGCUUCCCCACCAGGCUACGUGGGGAUGUAGGAAUGCUUUGGGGCCCUGAUCUUCUUCCUGAGGGAGCCAGCAUAAUAAUUCCUCAUCUUUAGGGGCCAGGACAGUGGCAUGAGGCACUUCUGAGAGCCCAGGAGUCUGAAAUCUACUCCAAAAAUCAUCCUCUUGGGAGCGGGCUGGCACCCCGCUUCCCUAAACCCUUGGACCCCAGCAUCCCUUUUCUGGUUGCUCCAUGCCGAGCUCUAGGGCAGAGAAUUGUGCCUUUUUUUACCCUUUUUUUUUUCCACGUUCCCUACAGUUUUAUUUCUAACCCCAGUGGGAUCAGAGGCAGAGGGGAGGCAGGGUGCGAAGGGCAGGGGGAGAGGCAGCUUCUUUGCAUGCCGAAACAUUCGCCCCUCUGUCUUCCACCUUUCUAGACACUUCCAUUUUGCUGCGAGCUGCACGGAGCUGCUUUUAUUCCUUGCGGUGGUUCUCCUUCUCGGUGUAAAUGUAGGUUAUUCAGGGAGCAUUUCCUUUAAUGAAAAGGACGGAGGAAGAACUGAUGGUGAUAAAGCAGCUCCGUGGAGGAGAGCUGCUCCGGCUGCCUCCAGACCGCGAGGGAAAGAAAUUGGACGUCGAAUGUGCAAUUUUCCUCGGGGAGCGAAGGGAGCCCACGGAGAAGUCUGGAUCCCUCAGAGAACUUCUCCCUGUGCUUCAUUUCCCUCGAAUCCUGACUCCUGACUUGAUUUUUAGCACCUUGCUGCUUUGGAAGCCGGUACUAUAAGGCUGUGACACCCGCGAGCCUUUACGCAGGAGGAAACUGAAUCGGAGAAAUGCUUUGUUAUCAACCAGAGCUCAAAUUAAAUUGGAAUUAAAGCUACAAGCAAAAAAAAACAAAACAGCAAAUGCUGUGACUUCGUUGACCCAUGGCUUCUGAUGAUGGGACUCGGACCUGCUACGGCUCCGGUAGGGCACUGAGGUGCUUUUCCCAAGCCAGACCCCGAGGAAAUGGGGACAGGGCUGGGGUUGGCCCAUGAAAUAUUCACAAUCUGUCCUUAGGUGACUCCGGGGGCAUGGAGGAUCUCUCGCAGAACCGGCAGAGCUCUGGCACCUUUGUCACCUUUUUAGUGAAGCCUGGAGAAAAAACAAAUCUCCCCAAAGAAGCAGCGUGGUGUGGCCGGCAGCUGGAGCAUCCCUCAGCCAGCAAUGGGGUCUCAGUGGGGUUUCUGCGGGGCAGGAGGGCACGGAGGGUGCUGGAGGAGCACCCAUCCCCUAAAAGGGGUGGCAGACAGCCCUGCCAGCGUGCACAGCACUCCAGUGUCGGGAGAAAUGUCCUUUUCUUCAGUUUCUGAUGUUAAAAAAAGAGCAGUUUAACCCUUUGUGCUCAUUUCCCCUGCUCGAACGAGGAGCCCCGCGUGAGAGGGCUGCCAGGAAGGCAUCGCCAGCCGCAGAAAGACAGCAGCAAAGCACCGGGAGCGGCUUGGAGUUUGGGGUUGGAAUUCAUCCCAGUUCUGUCUCAGCAAAGAAGGGGGGGGUGAAAAAAAAUGAGCAACGGAGGCCGAUGCUGUUGAAGUGAAAAUUGUAAAGAGUGGUAUAAGCAGAAGGCAUUUAAAUAAUGUAAACAGUCUGGCAGGGGAGGAAAGGAUGGGAGGCAUUCCAGAAACAAAGGGAAAAGAGUUUUUUUUUUUUUUUUUU